GUGCUCACUUACACAGCACAUGCAUUAAAACUGGAAGAAAAAAUAGAUUAGCAUAGCUCCUACACAAGGAUGACAUGUAAAUUCAUGAAGCAUUCUGUAAUUUU